CACAUUCAAGAAAACCCGCUUUUUAGCGGGUUUUUUUACAUCUGUAGUUUAUAGGAUGAGCACCUCCGAAGGAGGUUUGAGCCGAGCGUAGCGAGACAACGUUGCUUUAGCAACGGCCCGCAGGGCAGCAUCGCAGAUGCAGUAAUCCUCUCUCGCCGACCA
rnacentral:sRNA from 1 species